UGUUUUUUUUUUAUUCAGUUUAGAUUUAUUUUUAUUGUGAUUGAGUGUAUUUAGUUGUAAAAAGUUGUGAAUAUAUUUUUUUGAACCCUAUCUUUAUAUAAUGGCGGUAUACAUAACUAAAUCAAUGCUCUCUAAAUUCAACAAAGCCAAAUAUCCCUCUACUUUCAGUAAUGAAGACGAUGGUAGUAACAACAGUGAUCACUGGCAAAAACUUGUAGCUGACUGUAAGAAAAGUGUGCGCCUGGAGAAAGAUAUGAUAUGUCGAAUCUGUGCCAAAGGUGGCUGCACACCACUAACCGAAAAGGUCUUCGAUUACGACAUCAUGAGUGCCAUAAGAAGUAUAACAAAUGUCUCAGUUUCAGCUGAUGAUGCCUUGCCUAAAUACAUAUGCUCUGUAUGUCUGUACAAUUUAAAGACAGCAUUAACAUUCAAAAAGAAUUGUGAGGCUUCAGACCGAAAGUUCCGUAAGAUUUUACAUCCCAUGGGUGACCCAACAUUCCACUCAUAUCCAUAUUCUAAACAUGACUUCCAAUUGAUCCUCCAUGACAUGAAGAAGAAAAGAAUGAAGAUUGAAGAAGCAAGAAACAGGGAGCUGAAGAAACGGGAGAAGAUUUCCAUGAAGAAAGCUCCAAGGAUUAAGCAAUUCAAAUGUUCGCCCUGUGACAUGUCUUUUCCUGAUAAGGACAAGUUAAUGGAGCAUCGACGCGAGCGUCAAUGCAUGCGGCGCGCGUGCGAGCUAUGCGGCCAACUCGUGCUGUCCAUCACACAGCACAUGCGGCACAUUCACAAGCAGACCGUGCCGCAUAAAUGCAAUACUUGCGGCAAGGAGUUCCCGAUCAUUGCGCGCCUUAAGAACCACAUGAUGGUUCACACAGACACAUUCAACUUUUUCUGCGACCUGUGCCCGUACAAAUGCAAGCACAAGUACUACCUGGUGAUGCACAUGCGUACACACACCGGCGAGAAGCCGUAUAAGUGCACGCAGUGUCCCGCCACCUUCGUCAACCCGUCUAACCUGAAUAAGCACAAGCUCACGCACCAGGAGAAACAGUUCAAGUGCAUGAUGUGUGAGAAGGCGUUCCGUACGAACGCGGCGCUGCGCGAGCACCACGAGGCGGCGCACAUGAACAUCAAGCACACCUGCAACUACUGCGGCCGGGAGUUCUGCUACAAAUCGGACCUCCGCAAGCACGAGAUACGCAACCACAACCGCACCAAACGCGACUACAUCGGCGGCGAGCCCUCCUACAAGCAGGUCGAGCGCAUGCAGAAGAUACAAGAAAGUGCUGACGAGAUGGGGCAAUGGCGGCCGGAAAUCGUGGCACAACCCACCACGAUCGUGCAGGCUACUUACAUAGACCCGGCCACGGAGCUACAGAACAAUCAUCAGUUGUACUUCGCCGAUGUCACUGGGAUGAUUCAACAGCAGCCUACUAUGGGUAAGUUACAUGUCGAUCGAACGCAUACAGAAGACACUGAACGAACCUAUGGUGGCCCAACCCACCACGAUCGAGCAGGCUACUUACAUAGACCCGGCCUCGGAGCUACAGAACAAUCACCAGUUGUACUUCGCUGAUGUCACUGGGAUGAUACAACAGCAGCCUACUAUGGUGCAACAACAAACAGUGCAGCUGGCCUUGCCUGACUUGGAAAUGAAAAAGGAUGAAGUGAAAAUAUAUGAAGCACAAGGAAUGGCAUACUACUAGUAACAACUUUAUACAUAUAGUGAAAUAAAUAUUAGUCUAAUAUAAUUAGCCGUAGUGUAGAUGAAAUACCCAAUAUUUAACCUUUUCAUCGCCAUUUUAUUUACUUUUAUAUUGAUUUUAAUGAAUAUGUUUGAUUAUUUAAUACGAGUAUUAUCUAAUUUAUGUAGUUAAUAAACUUAGAAUUUGUAUAAA